UCUCUCUCUAGCUGUGGAGAGAGACGGGCCUGGCUGCUGAGCAGGAUACCUAGAGCGGAGCAGGGCUGGGGAAAGGCCAAAGGAGCUGGGGAGCUUCAGGCUGGAAAACCCCCAGGCUGCAGGCCUUACUAAAGGCCGGGAAAGGGCUCUAACACAGUGCAGACAGCUUGGCCGUCCGUAGCGAUGGAGGAUCUGAGAGCGCCCAAGCUAGUACAGACCCCUCCUGUUUUCCCAUGGGAUGGAAUGCAGCAAAUGUACCUUGUGUUUGAAUGUAUGAUGAAUUGUGCAUCCAGCGCUACCACUCCUCUCGCCUGUCGAUUUGAGGCAGCACAGACCCUGCAUGGAGCUUGGGGGUUUGAGGCAAAGCUUGGUAGAAGCCCAGGGAAAUGAAGGUUUGUGUGUUCAGGAAUGAUCUUCAUCAACGGAGAAUCUUUAUUGUGUUUGAUAUAAUGUCAGCUUUCAUUACGCUCUGAGGGCGCACUGAGAACUUCUGUGUUACAGCACCAACCUUGCUGUCGAACCAUUCUGGCUGAAAGUAGAACAAGAAAAUCAUUCACAAAAAAAAGUCUUCAUCCUUUGCUCUUCAAAGCAAAUGGAGGCCCCCUCCUUUCUAAAAAAGAAAAGACUUGGCAAUGUCAUGGGCAUGGCAUAGCGAGAUCUGAGUGACCAGGAGCUUUCCCUCUGGGUGGUUGGCGUGGCAGGAUCCCUUUGGCUUCCCUGUGGUUGGUGUGGCAAGAGUCUAUAGGCUUUCCCCUCAGGUGGUUGGUGUGGCAGAAGCCCACUGUCUCCCCAUGGGCAGCUGGCAAGGCAGGAGGGGUUGCUGAAAUCAGAAUUAAGGUGGAAUCACGCAGGUCUCAUGUGAGCCAGGCUUGACUUGAUAGAAGUAAAGCAAGAUGCCAUGAUAAGAAAAAUAAUAGGCAAGGCAAGAUCAGAUAAAACCUCUUCUUUCAGAGAUGAAAAACCCUGUUGAUGGGUCACUCAAAUGUUUCCCCAGCGCAGUCAGGGAGGCAAAGGGAGGAAAUUGGUUUUGGUUUUUUUUUGUUUUUUUUUUUUUAAAUGCCAGGGCAGAUCAUGACAACAGUUCCCGCCUGUCACUGGUAACGUAUUUAGCACCAUGUUGCUGGAGGCAGUACAAAGGAACUCGUAGGCAGAAAGCUACAGGAAAGGCAGGCAUGUUUGCAGCCACACCAGUUAUGCAUUAAUCCAAUAUCUUCUACCCACAGCACUGGGGUGGGUCAGGUGGCAGUUCAGACUAACUGUCAAUGCGAUCAGCUUCAGGGAGGACUUGGGGUGGAUUCAUCACCGCACUAUGUGGGAAAUAGAUAUCUGUAGAUAGCCCAGUGAUAGAUAAAGAGAUCAGCCUUUGCCAGUGCUUCCCACAGGUUUUCAUGGUGCCUGAAACCAGAACUCCCUGUCCUUGCGCAGAUACUACUGAAUGAAAGCAGUUGGCUUUUAAUGGGGAAAAAAUGUAGAGUUCCAAGAAAAAUAUUCAUCUCUUCCAUAAAUGGAGCCCAGCACGCCACCGUGGAUUGCAGAGAGCCUCAGAGAGCAGUAUGAUGUUAAUAUCAGGGUCAGACAACAUUUGCUUCUUGGGCCUUUGCUGGCUUGCAAUCCAAAUUGUUUGGGAAGCUGGGGGAAACACCACUUUAGCCAGGAUGCAGGAUUCACAGGAUUAGAUGGAGCUGGAACAGCUACAAGAGAACAUGAAUGGCUAUAAAUUAGCACAUUGAAAAUCCAGUGUGCCACAGGUUUGGCAAUAAGCAAUGGGAAAAUGGCCACUAGUGCUCCAAGAUCCCCUUAAAACCCAAAACUAGCCAAUGGGGGCAGAGCCUGGAGCCCAUCCUUGGACGAAGCCCUCACUGAUGUCAGUGCGAGUUUCGGUGGGUAAGGACCUCAGGAGUUGGUCGAUGGAAGAAGAUGGGCCAGACGAGUAGGUAACUUUGGGUUGGCUGCUCUGUGGACUUGUGGAAGGAAAUUCUGCCCUAAAUAGGAAAGGGGUUUGGGAGGAGCAUUCAACAAGCUGAAGAAAUGGCAGAGGUGCUAAAGCUGGCAGCCUUGGAGCAGAUUGAAAAAGUCAGCUCAGACAUUAUCAGUACGUGGAUCUAGGGGUCAGUCCUGGAAAGCAGUUGUAAGCACCUCAACGUCUUUCAGAAUGAAUCUCUGCCACUUCCUCUAAACCCAGAGUCAUCACUUAAAUAUUUAGAAGAGCUGCAUUGCGGCCAAAGCUCCAGUGGCCAUCACAAAGAGAAGGCCAGAUUACUUCUGGUGUUCACUGAAUGAAAGGUUUAGAACCAGUGCAUGCAGCUAUCUCUGGCAUACUGAUUGCUCAGUGAGCAUGAAGAAGGUCCAGAGGCAAUAAGUAAAACAACAGUGGCUUACAAACCAGAACCCAUCCAAGAGUCAUCCAUCCUUCAGACAAGAUGUUAAACUAAAGCCCCUUCUGUCGUGUAUCCUGGUGAAAAGUAAAGAUCACAUGAAGGGAAUAAACUAGCCUUCCUUCCCUCAGUUUAAGAGGCUUUUUUUAAAAAAAGGAGAGGGCAUUUUUGGUGUUGGUGCAAUAAAUCCUGCAACAUCCCUAGGAACAUAUGUUCCAGUGUUAAUUAUUCGCUGUACUAGCACAGCAUGGCAGACUCCAACCUGGAGGGAUUACCUGUAGAGCUGAGAGGGUAGUUCAUUCUCUGCAUCCAUCCAGCCUUUGGCUUAUUAGCUGAGACAGCCAACCAUAGAGACCACUUAAGAUGGGAUUUUUUUGAACAGGGACACCUGUCCAGAAGGAACCAGACUGAAACCAACAGCUAAUUUGCCAUAGGCCAUGAGAUAAGAUCUUCCAGCCACUCCUGACACCAGCUAGAUUUUAAAUCGUUGGCUGUAUAAUUGAAAUACUUUAUGUCCCAUCAUCAGUGCUCCCCUGUCAGCUACCCCCUAAUUCUGAUAAAAGCUGCCAAUGCUUUAAGCGAUGUAGGAAUUAUAGCUGAGUAGGUAACAGCUGCUGUGUUUGCCCACUCAAGUAUCAGUGUCCAACUCAGAGCUGUUAAAGGAAACCUUGCGCACCAAAGCAAAAUCCUCUCCUAUUUAUUACUAUUACUGUGUACCCAAUGGUUCUGGGGCAUGAAGAACCACCUGAAUAUGUACUAUCAAUUAUAAAUGCUUAUAUCAACGGAAAGAUUUGAUCAUGAACAGACCAGAUGAUACUUUGCAGGCAUGCCUGCUCCCUUCAGCCUUCUUCCACCUGUUAACUGAUAUGACGGGUUCGUUAUUUAGUGGGUUGCUUGUUUGUCUCAUAUCUUAAAGCUGGCGUCUAGGGAAGCAAUUCCAUUUUGUAUUCCCGUUCAAAGAUCAUAGAGGCCAAAUUUAUUGUUGGCAGAAGUGGUUGUAAAGUCACCUCAGUGGAGUUACAUGAGCCUGUGCAAGUGGCAAAUUGGGCCCUGCAGGUGCAGCACAGCUUCAAAGCAAUGCACAUCUGUGUUUGCAUCAGAAUCCAGCAUACCUUAGGGGAUGGAGCGUGGACAGAGCUACCAGCUUUGGACCAAACUCUGGACUCAUUUGUACCAGCAGUAGUCCCUCGGAGUCAUUAGAGUGGCUCCCAGUUGUCUUCAAGGUAAACGACAACAGAACUUGGUCCUUUGUGAGCCAAUUAAAUCUUCAAAGAGAUUUCAUGUGCCCACGGGCCCUCCAUGCUGACUGACUGAAUAAAACUGACAGCUGGGGAAUAUGAGAUAUCCCCAGAUCAAUGCAACUCAGCAGGAAUUACUGGGAACAUCUAGAUGAGUUGCUAAAAUGUCUCUAGGGUGUAUGAUUAGCAGAAGGGCCCUCACAGGCAGAGGGGCCAAGAUCCCAAGGAGGCCUGUCGACCCAUAGGAAAGGAUUAGCUAAUUGGAGUGAACUUGCAGAGGAACAGAAACAGAGAUUGGUACCUCCAAACCCCACUUUGGAUGUCAGUAACUAGUGUGAGGGCUCCAAGCUACGUGAGCCAUAUUUCACCUCUGCACCCCAAAACAAAGGAAUUUUGCUAAAAUUGCUAAAAUUACUGGCUACAGGCUUCCUAGACUAAAUAUACAGGGACUGAUUCUGAUCUCGCAUACGGUGAUGUAGAUCAGCACUAAUUCCCCUGGAGUCAAUGGAGCAGUGCCAGUGUGAGAUCAGAACUAGACCCCACCUACAGCAUCCCAAUAACUUCUAGUCCCUGUGCUGUGUUUCUGCGACACAACUGCUGUCGUUACCCUGUGCGGUCUGUAGGAUGUGAUCAUGCUCUCCAAGCGCUAAAUCCUAAAGUCCUUACUCAUUUCUUUACUUGGAGGGAGUCUUCCUGAGGCAGGACAGAAUAGAAUAUAGCCCCAACAGCCUGCUCCUGCUUCUGAUGAAGUCAGUGGGAGUUUUGCCAUUGACUAAUAUGGGAGCAGGAUUGGGCCCAAAGUUGUGCUAGGUUCUACGAAGUGAGCCCAUAGAGAUGACUGGCUCAGCCUCACAGUGAUACUGGCCAUCUCAGUCCUGCCAUGAGUGCAGGACAUGGGACUAGAGGACCCCUCAAGGUCCCUUCCAGUCCUACGAUUCUGUGGCCAUUGUGCUGUCCCUUAGUAGGAAGGAGAGGAAGAUGUGAUUCAAAAGCCACUCGGGGUGUAUAAGCCAUAUUCCAAUAUCAGUCAUCCACAAUGCCCUGCUGUAUGCCGUGGAUUCAUAUGGUCCUGUCUGUGUGAGCUAUUCGAAGGACAGAUAAAAUAUCAGGG